GAUGAAGAACGCAGCGAAAUGCGAUAAGUAAUGUGAAUUGCAGAAUUCAGUGAAUCAUCGAAUCUUUGAACGCACAUUGCGCCCCCUGGUAUUCUGGCGGGCAUGCCUGUCCGAGCGUCAUUUCAACCCUCGAACCCCUCCGGGGGGUCGGCGUUGGGGAUCGGCCCUUUACGGGGCCGGCCCCGAAAUACAGUGGCGGUCUCGCCGCAGCCUCUCCUGCGCAGUAGUUUGCACACUCGCAUCGGGAGCGCGGCGCGUCCAAUGCCGUAAAACACCCAACUUUCUGAAAUGUUGACCUCGGAUCAGGUAGGAAUACCCGCUGAACUUAAGCAUAUCAAUAAGCGGAGGA
rnacentral:misc_RNA from 1 species